rnacentral:rRNA from 1 species
GACGAACCGAGCGAACGUUGUUCGGAAUCACUGGGCUUAAAGGGCGCGUAGGCGGGUUCUCAAGUCCGGGGUGAAAUCCCACAGCUCAACUGUGGAACUGCCUCGGAUACUGGGGGCCUCGAGGGUGGUAGGGGUAUGCGGAACUAUCGGUGGAGCGGUGAAAUGCGUUGAUAUCGAUAGGAACUCCGGUGGCGAAGGCGGCAUACUGGACCACAUCUGACGCUGAGGCGCGAAAGCGUGGGGAGCGAACAGG